GCGGGAUUAGUUGAAAGGCUCAACGUCACCCUUCCAAGGUGAAGAUACGGGUUCGAUUCCCGUAUCCCGCUCCA
rnacentral:tRNA from 1 species